AUCCUUCAGGUUCUUUAACGUGAUGAGUGGGUUGUGCACGCGCCUGCGUGAAAUGUGCCGUCCCGAUUGUUACGACGGGGCACACUACCCAUCUGAUU